AGCGUGCACUCCUUCGUGAGGUCGAGGACUUGAAAUGCGGUCCCAAAACAUUCAGAACAGUCACAUGAUUCAUAUACUGUUUCGCUUCUAUAGUCGUGGUGCACCAGAUCCACCAUAAUAUUACACAAAAUUUUAUGGUACAAAGAAUACGUACUCUUGCUUCGAGGACCACGCCAAUACAUGGCUUCAAUUACAAGCUGUCUG
rnacentral:lncRNA from 1 species